UACGUAGGGGGCAAGCGUUGUCCGGAUUUAUUGGGCGUAAAGAGCGUGUAGGCGGUUCGGUAGGUCCGUUGUGAAAACUCGAGCUCAACCUCGAGACGCCGAUGGAAACCCCCGAACUAGAGUCCGGAAGAGGAGAAUGGAAUUCCGUGGUGUAGCGGUGAAAUGCGCAGAUAUCAGGAAGAACACCCGUGGCUAAGGCGGUUCUCUAGUACGGUACUGACGCUGAGACGCGAAAGCGUGGGGAGCGAACAGG
rnacentral:rRNA from 1 species